ACGCGCAAACGCGUGCACGCGCACCUGAGCGGACACGCCCACCCACGUGUAGGUAAAAAGUGAGAAUUUACGAAAAUUUGGUUAUGACUUCACGUCUUUGGAAAUCUCACAAUGGAACAGAACUUCUACGAUCUCCUUCCACACAUUAAGAGAGCAUGGCCUUUUUUUUAUCAGACAGUUGUAUUGAGAUUAUUUCCGAUGACGAGUAUCCUGGAACGUCCAUGCAAGGCCUAAGAACGGAGGAACAUCGAGAAUCUGUCCAAAAUCCAAUAGCGGUAGUAGCCCCACAGCUCAGACCAGUCCUACAAACUACACAAGACGCCGACGUCUAGCUACGUUGACUACGAUGGUUCAAAUGUUUUGGGUAAGUCCGUUAGCAUUCUCUUUUCAAACAUCCCUUAAGAGUGUAAAACAAUCCUUCACACAUUUUCUGUAAUCUGUAUUCUAUUUCGAUGCUGGUGCUAACGUAGUUGGCAGUUUUGUCUUUUGAAGGAGAAGAAAAUGAUUACAUUCAAGCCGGUGGUAGAGAGAUAUACUGAUCAUAUUCCCUCAGCUGACAGUUUUAUUACCUUUUUAUUACCCUGACAGCUGCUAUGCCAGCUGCUAUGACAGCUGUUAUGUUAUGACAGCUGUCAUUAGUGAUAUGAAAUUAUUAAAGGUCAAAGGUCAUACCUUCUGGUGUGGUAGAUGUAUGUCUUGACUCCAAGUAGUUAAAGAGCCCACUUUACCUCCCACCACCACCCUGUCUUUCAUAUUGUUUUAACACCAUCGUGUCUGGUUCUCGUAGACAGGUGAUAAGUAAUUAAAACAAGGACAUAUGUUUUUUUUUAAAAAUGGGGUUUUAUGACCCCUCAGAGGAAGCAGUGUUGUAAAACAAGGACCUAUGUUUUUAAAAAUGGGUUUGUUUUAACCCACCUCAGAGGAAGCAGUAUUGUAAAACAAGGACAUAUGUUUUGUUGUUGUUUUUUUAAAAUGGGGAUUUAUGACCCCUCAGAGGAAAGUAGUGUUGUUAAACAAGUCCAUAUGUUUGAUUGACUAGAUAGAGAUAGGUACUUAAAACUCGUGUUUGAUCCGGGGGUGUUUUGCGAUAGGGUUACCCCUCCCCUCAGACCGGAUGGUUUUCAAAUCAAGAUUAUGACACCUCCGUUGUGUUAGGAGCGUCUCUCAGUCUGAUCGUUAGUUAAUGGGGGUGCUAUCUAUAACGUCACACACGCGCACCUGAGCAAACGCGCGUGAGAAGAAAAGGAGCACACGCCCCCUGAGCGGACACCUCCACCCACGUGGGUGCUAUCUAUAACGUCACACAUGCGCACACACACCUGAAUAAACGCGCAUGAGAAAAAAGACGCGCACGCCCCUGAGCGGACACCUCCACCCACGUGUAGGUAAAAAGUGAGAAUUUUCCGAAAAUUUGGCUAUGACUCCACGUCUUUGGAAAUCCCGCAACAGAACAUCUACGAUCUCCUUCUAAACAUUGAGAGCAUGGCCUUUUCAAUAGGUAAGAGCUUAUUAUUAACUUUAUUGUAAAUUUAUAAGUAUUAGAAUGCUUAUCAUUUGAUAUUACCAUAUAUGAGAUUUUCAAUAUUUAGAAGAGUGACUUAUUAUAACUAGUUUUAGUUGGAUUUAUACGUAAGUCUGUUUUAAUUACAGAACAAUACCAGCCUAUCUGACACAAUUGUCUAUGAAAACGUAUCAAACAAACGCGACCCUUCCAGGAAAUUUCAUUCUGACUCUUAGAUCUGUGUUUUUUUUUCAGUCGAUUGUUUUAUCAUAUAUUACAUUAUAAGCUAAAUGUUAUAUUUAUUUAUUUAAUUCAUUGUUUAUUCAUUUUUAGACAUCUUUGUAUUGAGAUUAUUUCCGACGACGAGUCUCCUACAACGACCGUGCUAGGCCUAAGAACGGUGGAACAUCCGGAAUCUAUCCAAAAGCCGAUAGCUGUAGUAACCCCACAGCUCAGACCAGUUUUACAAACUAAGUUACACCAUGAAAAUAUGAAUGUUGUAAAUCUUUCAUUAACCUUAUAUGAUAUUUUAAUUAUUUAAUUAUUCAUUAUUUUGUAUGUGUGACAUAUUCAGAAGACACCGGUACAACGCCUGACUACGCUGACUAAGAUGGUUCAAAUGUUUUGGAUGCCAUCUUCGAAGGAGUAGGAAACUACUUUCAAUCCGUUGAAGAAAAUUUCAACAUUGGAGAUGUCGGUGCUAACGUAACCGGAGGUGACUUUGAAGGACAAGAAAAUUUCAACAUUGGAGACGCUCUUCAGGAUUUUUUUCAGCUAAGGGAUAGAAUAACUGAAAACUUUGAGCAUGUCUACAGCGCACUACAAAACACUUCUGACAGUAUGUUUGUUCAAUCCUUGCGUAAUACUCUGGAAUCCUUAAAUUGGUGUGUUAUGGUGAAUAAUGAAUUGUUAAGACAUUGUUAUUUUAGAAAUGGCUCAGAAGCGUUCGAGUAAUUCUCCCUCUUCAGAAGCUAAAAAAAAUUAGAAUUGAAAAAUGACCCUACAUCGUCACAUGAUCUCUGCUUUGGUGAAACUUUGACUUUUUCAAGUAGUCUGUUACAACGUGACCCGUACACAACCCUGAACCCUUUUUUAACCAAUGCAUUCAAUGAGUUGAAUGAUGGUUUAAAAUCGACACUUAGACAUGAUAUUCAGAGCCCUAAUCUGGGGUUGACUGAUAGUUUAACAGUGCCACAAACACAGCUGCCUCAUCAUGACGUGUUCUUAGAAUUAAAUCAGAGUCUGUUAACAUUGCAGAAUAGUCUAAAUGAUCAAGAUCAACCUGUGCAGUUAAAUCCCUUUUUGAUAGAAGCUGUAAACCAAUUGAACGAUAGUUUUAACUUAUCUAACGUUUUUGAUUUCAAGAAAGAGAUGACUGAAUACUGUGUAAAUGACGUAGACAUUUUGAGAAAAGGUUGUAUAGCUUUCAGAAAUGAAAUUCAAAAAAGUACAAUGGUGGAUCCUUUUAAUUGUAUUACGAUUGAUUCCGUUUGUCUUCAGAUAUUUAGAACAAUGUUUCUCAAAAAAAAACGUUCUCGCCAUUCCACCUCUCGAUAAUUACAUCAACAGGCAGAAAUCUUACUCAACACCUGCCAUUCAGUGGCUCGAAUACAUUUCCGCCACACAUAACCUACCUAUUCAACAUGCUCAACAAAGGUGAAGUCGGGUUCGGUUCAUAUUUCAUUGACGGAUAUUGUGAAGUGGGUCAGACGCGUAAGGCUUUUGAGUUUCUCGGUUGUUUUCAUCACGGCUGCGAAAAGUGCUUUCCCUCAUCAGCACCGCAUCCUUUUAACCGCAAAGUUAGCUUUGGUGAUGUCAGGGUUAAGUCGUUGGAAAAGAUAAAGUAUUUGCAAGACACACAAUUGGCAUGUCACAACGCUCUGGGAGCACGAGUGGUGUGAAAUGAAGGAAAACGACGUGAGAGUGAUAAACUUUCUAAAAGAGUUUGACUUUCCCAAACGUUUAAUCCCUCGAGAUGCCCUUUACGGCGGUCGAACAAACGCUUUGCAUUUACACUAUGUAGCACAACCCGGUGAGAGAAUAGAUUAUUACGAUUUCAUGUCACUUUAUCCGUAUGUAAACAAGUCGAAAACAUAUCCUAUCGGUCACCCCACAAUCAUUUUUCGUGACUUUGAACCUCUGGAUAAUUACUUCGGAAUAGUUCGAGCAAAAGUGUUACCGCCUAGAGGUCUGUGGUCCCCAGUUCUUCUGUACCGUGUAAAUAACUAACUCCUUUUCCCUCUGUGCAGAACAUGCAGCGAGCAACAACUAAAACAUUGCGAUCAUUCAGACCAGGCACGAGCUCUAACGGGUACGUGGGCCUCCGUCGAGUUAGCGAAAGCCGUCGAGAAAGGUUACCAAAUAUUAAAACUGUUUGAAGUCUGGCAUUUUCCUGAAAGAUCCAAAAACCUGUUUACAGACUACAUUUAAAUGUUUCUAAAGACAAAGCAUUAAAGUUCAGGGUAUCCAUCCUGGGUAGUCGAUGAAUCCACAAAACGUGAAUACAUUAAAAAUUACGAGUGUAAUGAGGGAAUUGAAUUGCAAGAAAAUAACAUUAACGUAAAUCCUGCCUGACGGUCUGUGGCUAAACUAGCGUUGAAUUCAUUGUGGGGCAAGAUGUGCCUAAGACCGGACAAAUCAAACACAAUUCUGAUCAAAGAUCCUGCAGAAUUUUUAAACUUCAUAUUCAACGUCUACAACGUUAGUCACUUCGCUUUUUUGUCUGAUGUUGCUCUUGUGCAGUGGCGUUAUGUGGACGAUAGGAUGGUUAAACCGGGGAAUGCUAAUGUGUUCAUAGGUAUUUUCACCACUGCGUAUGCUAGACUUGAACUGUACAAUCUGAUGGAUCGUUUGAACCGUCGUUGUUUGUACACCGACACCGACAGCAUCAUUUUUAAAAGUAAAGAAGGGGAUUGGAUGCCGCCUUUUGAGCGAUUAUUUGGGGGGUCUUACCAGCGAACUAGACGACAGUGAUCAAAUAGUAGAGUUUGUAAGUGCAGGUCCUAAAAACCUACUACCUACCUAAAGGUAAUAAAACUGUCAGCUGAUGGAAUAUGACCAGUAUAUCUCUCUGGUGGUGUCUUUUGAAGAAAAUGAAAAUAUCAACAUUCGAGAUGUCGGCGCUAACGUAGCCGGAGGUGACUUUUGAAGGACAAGAAAAUUUCAACAUUAGAGACACUCUUCAGGAUUUUUUUCAGUUAAGGGAUAGAAUAACUGAAAACUUGGUGUCAGUUCAGAAAAACAAAGUGUUGUUAAUGCAACACCUCUGGUAACCUGUGAACAUCAAGGACCUGCAUCUCAACAAGAUUUGCUUCACGUUCUUAAUCAACGUCUUAUUUCGUUAAAUCACAAUAUUAUUAACUUAAUCAACCAACCUGUUAAUGUUCUGCAAAACCUCGAAAUUGAUCAUGAGUACAUCCCUGAAAUGGUAAAUGAUACAUCAGUGAACACAACGCCACCUGAUGUUGAAAAUAUCCCCUUAGAUCACGUUGACGACGCAUUGUGUAUUGCUACAAGAAAUACAGAAUUGCUCUUACAAUUCUUCAAUUCGGAAGAUGCGACACUUGUAUAUUUUUUACAAUAAAGACAACAUGUGUUUUGCAUUAUGCGUUACACAGCUUUUAAAUCGUGAUAAAAGCCAUUUUCAAAAUGAAAAAAUUGCUAAACAGCUCCAAUACGAUGUAGGUUUAACUGAAAACACACCCGUCACCUUUGCCGAUGUGUGUAAAUUUGAGGCACAUUUACAGUGUAAAAUUGUAUUGUGGAUUUUUGGGAUGUAGUUACGUCUGUCAUUUCUGUCACUCAGGGUUUAAGGAUAAGCGGAACCAUCAUUGUGUACUGUAUAUAGUUGUAACGUUUGUUAUGAUGUAGGCUGCUACAAACACCCUCAAAACAAAAUGCCCGGAUUGUAUGAGGUUGUGUAGAUCAAAAUAUUGUUUCGAUAGUCACAAAUCGUUGCGUCACUCCUCAUCAAAGUUUAGUUGUACUCUUUAGUUGAAGCAUUUUACGGUUUUCAGUGAUUUGCAAUGAUUUCUUUUCACACAUUGUGGAUUUGCCAUACGACACUUUAAUGGAGUUUGUGAAGAUGCUCUAUCAUGCAGCAGUAAAAUUUUAUCAGGUUCUCAGGUAGUAAAGAGGCUGUUGCACCUUCCUAACCAGAGCUGAAGAAUUCUGAUGCCAAGACAGAUCCAGAUCAAUACACAUUCAGAGCAUUUAAAUUACAAAGAGGGAAACCUGUAUAAAAUGCUUGAGCAGGAUUUGUCCUGGGUUCUUCUUGACUCCGAUGAACCCAAAGUGCUUCAUGUAUUUUGUCACUGUAAUGCUGGAAUAAACUUCUUGUCCUUCA